UUCCGGGUUGAUCCCGCCGGACCUGACUGCUAUCGGAUUGAUACUAAGCCAUGCGAGUCUUUGCAGUAAUGCAAGGCAGACGGCUCAGUAACACGUAGUCAACUUACCCUAUGGACGAGGAUAAUCUCGGGAAACUGAGCAUAAUACUCGAUAGAUCAUAAUGCCUGGAAUGGUUUAUGGUUAAAAUGAUUCGUCGCCAUAGGAUGGGACUGCGGCCUAUCAGCUUGUUGGUGAGGUAAUGGCCCACCAAGGCGAUUACAGGUACGGGCUCUGAGAGGAGAAGCCCGGAGAUGGGUACUGAGACAAGGACCCAGGCCCUAUGGGGCGCAGCAGGCGAGAAAACUUUGCAAUGUGCGAAAGCACGACAAGGUUAAUUCGAGUGAUUUCUGCUAAAGAGAUCUUUUGCAAGUCAUAAAACCACUAGUGAAUAAGGGGUGGGCAAGUUCUGGUGUCAGCCGCCGCGGUAAAACCAGCACCUCAAGUGGUCAGGAGGAUUAUUGGGCCUAAAGCAUCCGUAGCCGGCUCUGUAAGUUUUCGGUUAAAUCCAUGUGCUCAACGCAUGGGCUGCCGAAAAUACUGCACAGCUAGGGAGUGGGAGAGGUAGACGGUACUCAGUAGGAAGGGGUAAAAUCCUUUGAUCUAUUGAUGACCACCUGUGGCGAAGGCGGUCUACCAGAACACGUUCGACGGUGAGGGAUGAAAGCUGGGGGAGCAAACCGGAUUAGAUACCCGGGUAGUCCCAGCUGUAAACGAUGCAGACUCGAUGAUGCAUUGGCAUAUAGCCAGUGCAGUGUCGCAGGGAAGCCGUUAAGUCUGCCGCCUGGGAAGUACGUACGCAAGUAUGAAACUUAAAGGAAUUGGCGGGGGAGCACCACAAGGGGUGAAGCCUGCGGUUCAAUUGGAUUCAACGCCGGGA
rnacentral:rRNA from 1 species